CGGCAGCAGCAGCAGCAGCAGCAGCAGGAGGAGGAGGAUAUUAACGUUGUCUUUCAUCCAUGUUGUUCACUUUUCCGGGGUGCUGAGAUGCUGCAGGGGCUGCUGAGGACGUGGACCAGGGUUUGGACUGCAACCAUGCGAGGAUGGAUGAUGCAAGUCACAAAAGCCUGCUGCAUGUUGCAGGAGAUGCUGUAUUAGAUCUCUCCCCUUCAGCCUCUUCCCCAUUUCCAGGCCAGCAAUGAUGUCGCUCUGGGCUGUUCUGCAUUGAUUAAACUCUGAUUUGUCUGGAAAGGCUCCAGCUGUUUUGGCUCCAAUAUGCCUGGAAUGGCCUUUGCCCACAGAGCAGUGUCGUGCUGGUGCAGUGGAGAUGGACUCCAGGAUCUUCACAAAGCUUGCUGUAGAGAAUUAAAAGGAAUCAGGAAAAGUCAUGCCAAGAUUCUGUCCAGAUACUACAUUCACAUGGGAGCUAACCAGGACUCACUCCUCGUCCUCACUGGACUUUCUGUAUGCUGUGUUAACUUAGUUCAUUGUGAUUAUUAAGAUGUAGAAGUAAAACCCAAGUGGUGCACGUCUUCCCUCCCGUGGUAACGUCCUGGUCCCACCAUUUUAGCCCUGGAAAUUCAAGUUAUUAAGACUUGGUUCCACAUCUAUGCCACUGUCAGUCAAGAGAAGUCCCAAUACUUCCCUUUGUGCUCCUGAAAAGCUGAGAUGCUUAACAGGCAGAGGAUGGCUUGAUGAAGUCUAGAUGCUUGAGGAUGCUUCUGAACCUAGGAUAUAGGGAGCUACUCAAGGGAUUUCAGGAAAGAAAGAAGUUCAACUGACAUGAGUUUAAUUCCUCAUGGUCUGAGGAGGAUGAGGAAAGAUCUUCAGCAGUAUAGUGACAGCUUUUUUGCUUUUUGUCUGCUUGCUGUAAUCUGUUACACACUACAGAAGCUGGCAAUUGCCAGGUAUGUCCCUAAACUUUGCAGGCUGCCAUGUAUAGAUCCUAAUAUUUUUGCCUGAUAUGCAUUGCCUUCCACAGCUAUGUUGUUCCUAGGAUUUGGUUUGGAUUCUGUUCCAGCUCAACUGGAAUGAAUGGGUUUAGUGAGAAUCUCUUAAAGCCACUUCAAUGAGAGUAACCCUUUAGAAGAUUGUAAGGAAUGUGCCACAGUCUCACCCUGGCAAGGCAAGAGGCUAAAUGCAGGAGGAAUUUUUACUGCUAACUAGAUUCCAACUAAGAGGCUCUGAGGCUUUAUAAGAUUUUUUUCCAGUGAGAGCCUCGUUUGGCCUCUGUAAAUGGAAGUUAGGCAAGAAAAUACAAUUUAUCUGUCUGCUCUGAAAUGUACUUAUUGAUUUCAGCAGUUGCACUGUAAUUGUUCUUACAAAUCAGCUAAUUGAGAUCCUCAAUGAAAGGUGACUUAAGGAGCAGUAAAUUUUGCAGCCCCCCUCCCCAAGGACAGCAGCUGCCCCAGUCUGGUGUUCCUUGUUAACCAAGUACAAAUCUUUAAAUGCA